UCUGGCCAGGUCUGUGCAGGAAGCCAUCAUCCUGCAUCUUUCUCCCACAGAGGAUGCAGCCCACAGCUACACCAAGAUCAUAUUGGAGAAAAUCCAUUCCUGCCUAUGUUCAAAAGCAUUUUGGAUGUGCACUGGUAGGGGCGGAUCUGGGCAUCAUGGUGCCCGGGCUCUGCUGGCUGCCUCCGCACUUCCUGCUCCAUUGGGGGGUGGGGGGGGGUUAAGCCCUCCCAGAGGUGCCAGGUGGUGCUGCAGCCCAGGCUAAGCUAAUGCUCCUGCUGGGACCAGCCCUACAGGGUCCUGGCUACAGGGUCUUGCCCCUCAGCUCAGGGUCAAGAAUUUGCCCCCUGCUCGGCCCCGUUUGGCCCUGUGGGGUUCCCCUCCCUCUGCAGUAGGGGCAUGACCUGGGCUUUCUGCAACAUCUCCAACCUCUGGCAGCAGUAAGAUGUGGGGCCAUGGCCCCCCUGCUGUCCCCGGGGCAGAGGUGGGGGCGAGGCCUGGGGUUAACGGCGGCUGUAGGAAGUGGCUGGAGGGUGGAAGUGUCUGGGCUGCACGGGGCUGAUCCUGCUGCCUCAGGCAGGGGUUGGGCUGGACAUGCCCCUGGGUCCUUUCCAGCCCCCGGCUUGGGGAACCCAGGUGUCUAGGAGUAGGGAAGUUGCUGUUUGUGCUGCGCUCGCUGUCUCCUCUGGCACCCACUUCCCCUCCCAGUCACCUUUUUAGUGGUGGUGAUACCGACGACACUGGGGCUGUCUAAGACAUCAGGGAUACAUGGGGCACUCGUGCUGAAGAAUGACACCCUUGUGCCUUCCUCCAGUCCCUGUAAGGAAGGGGAGUGAGGGGAGCUGGGGUUCAAGGGGGUGACCCCGUUAUACUCAGCUCCAAUGCCCACCCCAGAGCCAGUUGCAGCUCACCCACUGCUGUACCAGGACUCAAUGCCCUCUUACCAGCUGGGAUGGGUCUUGGCCCAUAUGCUAUCUGAGGGAUCCACGUCUACCUGAACAUUCCCCAUCCCCCACCCUUUCCCCCCCGUGUCUCCUGCAGCUUCCAGCUCCUUUGAGUUUGCAGUUACUUCUCCGGUUCCUCCCACAAAGACCAGUCCUGCAGGGACCAUCUCCAGCCCCAGCCCGCUCAGCCACUUGGCAUGUGUCACCUUCUGUAAAGAAAGGGGUCGGCAGUUGAUCCACUCUGAUGUGGCACAGGCACUGCUGGAGCAUCGCAAGACCAUGUAGGUCCAACCACUCCUAGCUGUGGAGGAGGAGACUUGUUGCUGCUCCUACCUGGAGGAUAGGCAGCUGAGAUGGAGCAGCAGCAGCGUCAUCAGCCCCUGCCUUUGCAUGUGAACACCAGGCAGCCAGACAGGCGCAGGCCUCCUCUACUGCAGCCGCCCGCCUGGGCCUGUCCCUGUCCCAUACAUUCCAUUUACGCAAAAGA